UCUUCCGUAGUAUAGUGGUCAGUAUGUGAGCUUGUCAUGUCAAACUUCGCUCGAGACCCGGGUUCAAUUCCCGGCGGGAGAG